rnacentral:snRNA from 1 species
UCUCCUACACACUUGCCUCGAUU